rnacentral:rRNA from 1 species
GUGAGGAAUAUUGGUCAAUGGGCGGGAGCCUGAACCAGCCAAGUCGCGUGAAGGAAGAAGGAUCUAUGGUUCGUAAACUUCUUUUGCAGGGGAAUAAAGUGCAGGACGUGUCCUGUUUUGUAUGUACCCUGAGAAUAAGGAUCGGCUAACUCCGUGCCAGCAGCCGCGGUAAUACGGAGGAUCCGAGCGUUAUCCGGAUUUAUUGGGUUUAAAGGGUGCGUAGGUGGUUUGAUAAGUCAGCGGUGAAAGUUUGCAGCUUAACUGUAAAAAUGCCGUUGAAACUGUCGGACUUGAGUGUAAAUGAGGUAGGCGGAAUGCGUGGUGUAGCGGUGAAAUGCAUAGAUAUCACGCAGAACUCCGAUUGCGAAGGCAGCUUACUAAGCUACAACUGACACUGAAGCACGAAAGCGUGGGGAUCGAACAGGAUUAGAAACCCCAGUAGUCC